rnacentral:rRNA from 1 species
UACGAAGGGGGCUAGCGUUGCUCGGAAUCACUGGGCGUAAAGCGCACGUAGGCGGGUCUUUAAGUCGGGGGUGAAAUCCUGGAGCUCAACUCCAGAACUGCCUUCGAUACUGAGGAUCUCGAGUCCGGGAGAGGUGAGUGGAACUCCGAGUGUAGCGGUGAAAUGCGUAGAGAUUGGGAAGAACACCGGUGGCGAAAGCGCUCUGCUGGGCCGCAACUGACACUAAUGGACGAAAGCUAGGGGAGCGAAUAGG